rnacentral:misc_RNA from 1 species
GAAACACAAAAUCACGCAUCUGCUGCUCUUGGAAACAAGGAAAAUGACAAAGAUUCUAAGCCUCUCCAGUCAAUUGUUAAAAUGGAGACAAUGUCCUCUAAAUCCGUCAAAAGAUUAAGAGAAUCUGAAACUCAAACAUUUGAAGUCAUUAACGAGACAAGUUCAAGAACCAUUGCAAAAGAAACUCUAGGCAAUUGGUCCCUAUCAAUGCACAAUCCUUGUGAAAAUGUCAAAACUCCCUUCCAGGAUCCUUUGGAUUUUGGCAAGACUCAUCCAUAUGACAUUGGUCACCGCACUGUUGCAUCGAGGCCUUUGAUAGAUAAUCCAAGUCACUUAGCAUCUCAU